CUUGGUGGCCAUCAUCGCCGACUAUCCUGGACUGCUCCCUGCAUCAAAUAGAAGGCUACCAGGGCGCCGUGCUGAGCCCACGGGGGCUCAUCAGCAAAGGGCAUCCAAGCCGGGCAGGCUUAAGAGGAAGACGGUUAGGACUGAGACGCUGUCACAAAGGUAUGAUUUAAAACCUGCUCCGUGAUUAUCUUCUCUGAAAUGUAACAACGUCCAUUGUGUCCGGGAAGAAAGAGUACUCGUCGGACUAUGUCCGGAGACCCUGCCGACCACGCCUCCGCCAGCCGGAUACCAGAACCGGCCUCAAGGGUGGAGGCUAACGCGGGGACAACGCCGAAUUAUCCCCCUACAGAGGAUGCGAAUAGAAUCUCCGCUACAAACUCCAAAGUGGAGAGCGCCAUGAAUCACCGGCGCUGACGGGCCAUACUCCGCGAUGCUAAUUUCUCCGAAGAGGUGUUUAACGCCUUCAACUCAGGGGACGCAUACAUCCGAGCUGCUCAAGAUGGACUUGCUAGAGCCACGGACCAAUAUGUAAAGGAUGUACAUGUUCUUGCGGAGAAGAAUGCCUAGCUGUCGAAAGAGCUGGAGGAGUGCAAAGCCCAGCUGCGUGCCGCAGUUGCUGGAAUGGAGGAAUCCAAGAAGGCCCCAUCUGGCAAUCCCGGAGGUAAUCCGGAGAUCAUACCAGGAAAUGAGCAAUAUGCUGAACGACAGCUGAAGGCUGGCGAGCGCGUGCUUACAAAGGUUAUACAGGAGAAAAAUAAUGUCCAGGUCGUGAAGACCCCGCUUCGACGCGACAUUUAUAGUAUGCUGACAGGCCGUCCUAAAGAGGAGAUGCCCGGAUCCGCAGGAGAUCUUCUACAAGAGCUUUCACAACUGCACGAACGAGUUCGACAGGUGAUGCAGGGUAUUGCCCAAGCCUUGUGGCCGUCCGCCUCCUAGCCAAGAAGCAUGGGAGAGCUUGUAGAGCUACUCAAGGGAGCAUGGUGGCGCUUCCAAUUAUGGAAGAUAUCGGCCUGCCGACAAGGUGCGAGGGAAGCCUGGGCCAUGGUAAAGACACGGUACACCAAGGUGGGUCCGAAUCAAAUGGCCCUGUUCGGUCCUGUAGGAUCAGAUGUGAAAUAAGUUCCCGUUGGUCUGGUAUAUGACCAAGUAGGAUUAGCCGCAAAGUAUUCUCAACAGGACUAUAGGCUAGACAGCCUGUUGGAUGGUAUAGA